AUGAGAUGAUGAGGAAGAGGGAGCAUACAAAGGAAAACAAUUAUAGAAACUGCUGAAGAUGGAAAUAAAAGAUGAAGAUUAUUGAAAAGAAGGAUGACUAUGAAGAGACAAGAUGAGGAGGAAGGGGCUGCAGAAAUAAAUGAGUGUUGCUUUAAUAUGCGGGAAAGAAGAAGAGCAUCAAAGGUGUAACUACAAUCAGCUGGCAGGAAGCUGCUUCUGCUGAUGAUGCUGAUGAUGAUGCUGAUGAAGAAGCCUCGAGGUUGUAAACAGUACCUGCUGCUCUCUGCAUUAUUCAGCAGCGGUGUAUUUGGCCCCAGCUGCUGCUGUGACGUUGCGUAACUCGUUUAUUAUCCCUCUCUGAAUCGGUGUCAGGUCAUGUUGGGAAGGAAGGAUGUGAUUCAUAAUUCUGUCAUAAUCCACAGGAAACAGUACGACCCUGGAAGCUGCACAUAUGUGUGUGUGUGUGUGUGUGAGUGAGUUUGUUUGUUUGAAUGCGUGUGUGUCUUACUGUAAGCAUGAGAUUAGUGACU